rnacentral:lncRNA from 1 species
GCUAGACAGCGCAAAAUAACCUGAACUGGUCUUUGUUCCUGCUGAAGUGGACACCGGUGGACUAAGUAUGGAAGAUGGAUGAACGACAGGGUGUGGUAUCCACGACAAGGACAACUUCACUCUGGCUCUUCUGAUGCAAAUCCUCCCACGACCUCAGUGAUUGCAUCACAUGGUGAGAGUGAGGAAGUACCACCCGAACCUAAGGAAGGAGCAGCAGCACCGGCGGCACCAGUAAAAGGCCAUGUUGGUCCAGGAGCAGGAGAGCAUCUUACAACAAAUUCCCUACUCAGGCAUGUUAGCAUGAAAGGAGCUUGCAAGAUUCAUGCAUGUGACUGAGGCCAGCAUGCAGAUUAGCCCUGAACUAACUACUGCCAAUCCUACUCUUUUUGCUGAGGAAGACUGGUCCUGAGCUAACAUCCAUGCCCAUCUUCCUCUACUUUAUAUGUGGGACGCCCACCACAGCAUGGCUUUUGCCAAGCGGUGCCAUGUCUGCACCCAGGAUCCAAGCCGGCGAACCACGGGCCGCUGAGAAGCGGAACGUGCGCACUUAACUGCUGCGCCACCAGGCUGGCCCCUAGAAAUAUAUUCUACAUGAUAUAAAUAAAUAUGUGCACAUUUGCAUGUGUAUACAUACACAUGCAUAUAUAUAUAUGUAUUAGGGAGGACUUCUGUGUGGAGACUAUACGAUGGAAAUAAUAACACUAUCUAUGUCAUAGAACUGAUGAGGGGAACAAAUGACAUAAUGCACAUAAGUACCCAGCACAACGCCCAGCGACAG